rnacentral:rRNA from 2 species
AAAUUGAAGAGUUUGAUCAUGGCUCAGAUUGAACGCUGGCGGCAGGCCUAACACAUGCAAGUCGAACGGUAGCACAGAGAGCUUGCUCUCGGGUGACGAGUGGCGGACGGGUGAGUAAUGUCUGGGAAACUGCCCGAUGGAGGGGGAUAACUACUGGAAACGGUAGCUAAUACCGCAUAACGUCGCAAGACCAAAGUGGGGGACCUUCGGGCCUCACACCAUCGGAUGUGCCCAGAUGGGAUUAGCUAGUAGGUGGGGUAACGGCUCACCUAGGCGACGAUCCCUAGCUGGUCUGAGAGGAUGACCAGCCACACUGGAACUGAGACACGGUCCAGACUCCUACGGGAGGCAGCAGUGGGGAAUAUUGCACAAUGGGCGCAAGCCUGAUGCAGCCAUGCCGCGUGUAUGAAGAAGGCCUUCGGGUUGUAAAGUACUUUCAGCGAGGAGGAAGGCGUUGUGGUUAAUAACCACAGCGAUUGACGUUACUCGCAGAAGAAGCACCGGCUAACUCCGUGCCAGCAGCCGCGGUAAUACGGAGGGUGCAAGCGUUAAUCGGAAUUACUGGGCGUAAAGCGCACGCAGGCGGUUUGUUAAGUCAGAUGUGAAAUCCCCGGGCUCAACCUGGGAACUGCAUUUGAAACUGGCAAGCUU